ACGAACACCGCUUACUACGAUGCC
rnacentral:siRNA from 1 species